rnacentral:rRNA from 1 species
AUGUAUUGCGGUAAAAGCCGUGAUGCUACCAUUGUGCUUGAGGCCGUGGCAUCGGAGGACACAUGGAUUUGGCAUGCAUUUUUUGGUUUGCCGGGAACACUCAAUGAUAUCAAUGUGCUAAAUAGAUCUCCUUUGUUCAAAAGAUUAGUUUCUGGGGAUGCUCCAACUUGCAACUACAAAAUAAUGGACAAUGAGUACUCAAUGGGAUACUAUCUCACCGAUGGAAUUUACCCCGAUUGGUAUACUAUCUCAAUGAAGUCCGCCAAGGAGAAAAAUGGGGUGCCCUUAACCAGAAAAGAGGCUCAUUUCACCAAGGCACAACAGGCAGCCCGCAAGGAUGUUGACAGAGCUUUCGGUGUUUUGCAAGCAAGAUUUGCCAUAGUUCGGGGUCCAGCUCGUUUUUGGGACAAAAAUACCUUGAAGAACAUCAUGAAAUGUUGUGUGAUUCUACACAACAUGAUCAUCGAGGAUGAGAGAGGGUUAAAACUGCCUUAUUUCUAUGACAAUGUUGGUACUUGUGUGCAACCGGAAAGAAACCCUUGUCGCGUACAAGCUUUUCUUGAAGCACAUCGUCAGAUUGAGGAUGCAAACACUCAUGGUCAGCUCUGGGAUGAUCUAGUAGAGCACCAGUGGCAGUUGGCUGGGCGAUGCCAAGGCCCAUGA